UCCAGUUGAGAAAACACCACUAUAACUAGCUCAUGGCCCUCAUUUCACUAAAGAGAAGAGAAUCAAUAAGAGUAUAUAUACAUGACUAAUAUUCACAAGAAAUACAUUCCUUUUGUCAAAAAUGAUAUUAUUUCUACAAAAGUAGCAGCUCCAACUAGAACUGAAACCCUCUACUACGAGGCAACCCUCUCUACCAAUUACCAUGCAUAUAAGAACUCUCUGCGGGUGGGUAUAAGUUGGACGCCACCGGGACUAUAUGCCACAUAACUCUUGUAAAAUGACAAUAGAAGAAAGUGCUUAUUGACUAAUCAUGAUUAUAAACGCUAUAGUUUGAGCUCCCUAGCUAGUUCGAUCUAGGGAGGUUAUCCUUAGUAAAUAUGACUUCCUAAGCAUAUACCAAAGGAAGAUCCUCACUUUCAAUACAAUUUUUAGUUUCAAAUGUUGUCUAUUUUUCUUCGUAAAUGCUUUUGAUCUGACAUCAGAUAUCAAGCGAUUUAGAGCGACCGCUCUCAGGUAUGUCAUAUCUUGUGCACGAAUAUGAAAACGUUCACCCACACCACCCUUCCAAGGGAAUGAUUGACUUUUUCCCUAUUUUUAUUCAUUUUUAAAUCCUGAACAAGUAGUUAUAUAAAGCAGGACAAAUUCUACUUCUUAGGCUUUUGUAUAUGGCAACCAUGUCGGUUAUAGCAUGGUAAAUUCUGCGUUUUAUAAAUUUUUACACAUUGCCAGUGCUAUAGCAUGGCAAAUUAUUUGCUUUUUAGUUUUUUAGAGAUGGAAAUUAUAUUUGUUAUAACAUGAAAAACACUUUUUUUCUUUCAAAAACAUGACAUGGGAACUUUUGAUAGUGGACCAUGACAAUUCUAUAGCAGCAACAUGGCAAUUCUUUAUACUGUAGCAUGCAAAUCUCUAUCUUGUAGCAUGGAAAUUCUCUAUACUGUAGGAGGACAAAUUGCUAUCUUGUAGCAUGGCAAUUGUCCCAUUUUCCCACACCAUGACAAUCCUGUUCUGACAAUAUAACAAUUAAUGAAUAGGUAGCACGACAAUCCUUCCAUGCAUGGCAACAUGGCAUUUUUUCUGCUGAUAACAUUGCCAUAGCAUGGCAAUUUCUGUGACAAAGAGGGUGUUGUGGAGGAGGGGAAAGGGGUUAAUGGUGGCGUUCACAUGGAGCGGUUUUCUGAGGACAAAAUGAUUUGUUUCCUCUCGAGAUCCACCCACAGCACAGACUCGCUCGAUCGGGUUACCCUCCUGAGGGGACGUCAGCUAGCUACCGGCGUCCUUUUUUCCCUAUGUGUACCAAACUGCAUUAUAUCACAUAGAUUGAUUUAACUAAAUUUUGUCCAUUUGGUGCAAACUCAACCUAAUGGAGUCUUAUUCAUCGCCCCUUUAUUGGAUAUUAGCGACCCAUGUACAAAGAUUGUUCCAUGCCACAAAGUUUGUACAUUAAGACAUGAUGGAUGAUAUCACCUCAACGAGGUGGUAUGUUUGUCCCUCACAAUAUGUAAAGAUGAGGGUAUUGACCAAUGGAGG
rnacentral:lncRNA from 1 species